UAUGCUGCAAGUGCAGGCCUAAAAACCAAAAAAAAAAAAAAAAAAAAAAAAAGAGAGAGAGAGAGAGAGAAAGUUCACUUGAUAAAGAAAUAAUUAGACAAUAAAGUUUUGAUAAAUUUCUAUGAACUUCAGUUUCUAGAGUACUUAUAUCAGUAACUUAUAACCAUACACACAUAACCUAAGAAGGUUUAUUAUCACUUCCUAUUUGACAAUGCUUUCCUCAUAAUUUAAUAUGCCAAAUAAACCUAAUUAGUUUAAUGUCUUCUUUACAAGAUGAGAGAAAAAUCCUUUGAGAAUUUCCAGGGCCCCUCUGGGAAAUCUCAAAGUUAGUUUGAGGUCAAAAAGAUUCCAUUUAGAUUUGAUUUGGGAAGUUGCAAAAAAUGUCAAAAGGUUUGAACACUUGAUUAAAUAGGACCACAGGUCAUUAUGAAAAAAUGCUUAAUUAUGACUAUGGGAGAUUGUAAAGGCAAUAUUUGAACACUUGAUUAAAUAGGACCACAGGUCAUUAUGAAAAAAUGCUUAAUUACGACUAUGGGAGAUUGUAAACGCAAUACAGAAGGUUACAUUGUUGUGAACAAAAUUUAGCUUUUUUAGUAUGGAGAAGAUUCCAAGAUAAUCAAAGAUAUAAUAAAAACAAUAUGAAGCAGAGGAAAUUAUUUUGGUAAGAUAGAAAAUUUCUUACUUUCCAGGUAGAUUACCCAAAAGGUAACAAUAACAACAAAACCUCAAAAACAAAUAUAAAAGCUUUCACAGUCUCCUAUCAAAUUCAGACCAAUCGUCUGAUAAAACUGUCUUUUUAACAGAAACAAAACCAUCUUCUAAUUUCGUGCCAGUGUACCUUUGAUAUUAAGGCUCAUUCUUUAAAAACAUCAUUCCAAUCAUAGCCAGAUUGACCACACAUAAAAUUCAUUUCCAAGAUUCCUUUUCUACAAAUCUUCUACAAGUUAUUUGUAUCCACUCAAGUUUUGUCCUAUAUUUUUCCUUUCUCAUUCAGCAACAGCAAAUUAUUCUACUUCUGAACAAAAUUACUUUCUCUUAACAAAAGUAUAUUCUUAUAACUUAAUCCAAAAACAUAUUCUACUUUCCUUACCUAUUUUCUAUACAUAGUUAUUUUCUUCCACUCUUAUUACUUCUAGCAUUUUUCAAUAUAUUGAUUAGGAUCCUUAACCCUUAGAAACUAUAAUUUCUAAUGAAAACUGAGAAGUAAGCAAUAAUGGACUGGUUGUUACAUGAGCAUUCUGUCCCCUAGCAAAUUUAUAAAUAUUUUUUAAUAAUUUCUAGAAGUCCACUCUUUCUCAGUAAACUUUUCAGUGUGACAGAAGGCAUGUUUACCAUUAGACUCAAACAUCUUUAAUCACUUUGUAAUAAGCAUCCAAAAAUAGCCAAACUUUAUUCAGUAAUUAACAUUUCAGUUUUUUAUUUUAUUUGGAAAUGGUCUCGAUAUUCCUUGACUAUCCUUUAUUUAAUUAACUUAGUAUAGUUUUUUUCAAGUUUUCAAGGUCUCAAGCUAACAAAAAGGUUUUGGAAUCUAUUUUUAAACAAUUAUGCUUGAUUACUCAUGAAAAUUUCACAAGACAUCAAACCAUCUUCUUAAGUUAUUUUUCUUGCUUACGAAUUCUGUAACAGUGAUAACAUGAGCUUAAUUUGAAUUUUAGUAAACAAAGGAACAACAAAAGUUAUAUGUUUGCAUUAUAUUUAAUGUUUAUAGCUCUGAAGAUAUGUCUAUUUUAACUAAACCAACAAAACUUAGAGUAGUUUUUAUUUACUGAAGAGUAACAUAUCAUUUGAACUUGAAAAACAUUUGGGUUGGUUUCUAUAGUUCUAAGAGAAUGCUUGAUUUGUGUAAGCAUUUACUUUUCUUCAAGCUAAUUAAAUAGAGCUCUUUUACAAAUUAAUUUUGGCAAUACCCUCUACAGAUAGAAAAAUUACACAUCUAACUACAUGUAUUUAGACAUACGUAAAUAUACAGACACAAAGAGAGAUAUUAUGGUUUUUAUUUUAAAAUUUUAGUCAUGAGACAGAUACUUUUCUUUUUCUUCCUAUAAGGAUUAUCUCCCUGCAGUUUGCAUUUCAAAAAGAUGGCUCUAGAUUCCUAGAGAAGACAGGGUCAAAAAUGUACACCUCGAAGGCACAGAGAAAAGAUAGAAGUUAUUUCACCAAGAAGUUUUGUUUCCAAGGUCCUGAUCUUUUACAAUAUCUGCAAGCCUUUUGAAAUAAAUAGGAAAGCUUGAGGGAUUAUUAAAAAGAAUUGGUGGGCUUUGAGUUGCUUCUAGCGCUGCAUUUCUGUUAUUGUAAAGCAAAAUAGUUAUUUCUUCUUCCUCGAAGAAGUGAGUUGCAAUAUCUAGGAACUGACCCCACCAUUCAACUUGUUUCUUUAUACCAGGGAGAAGAUUUUCAAUAGAGAUGGAAAUCAAAAGAAUUCUAGAUUUGGAGCUGCAUGUUUUUGGACUGUUUUAGUAAAUCCUUCCACAGUAGCUUCAGGAUGUUUUCUUUCCUUCUGAGUACAUUGUGUCAUUUUAGCUUAGGAAAGAAGGCCUUAAAAAAAAAAAAGUUUCUAUCAAGCUCUGAAUAUUAGCUUCCAGUUUGGUCAUCAUCUAAAUCAUUUAAAAAAUUCUUUCAAAUAUCUUAUUAUCCGGUUUAACCUGGAUAAACAGAAAAUAUUUCUAGUUGUACUGUACUCCUUAAAUUUUGUUUCCUCUUCCUGUUAAAUCAAAGGCCUACCUAUAAAGUGACUCAAAACCCAAACCAAUAAAUGUUUUAUAGCUUAACGGUGGACCCAAGAAGAGUCCUCCAAGAAGGUUCAAAAGAUACCCCUCCUAUUUCCAGAACCACUCUCAAAGGUAAUGAAAAGGAAAAGGCCUAGACAUUUCCCAUGAGACCUGGCAACAGUCAGUGGGGAGGCCACCACAAACAGAGUUCAAACCACAUUUCUGUCCAGCCAUAUUCUUGGGCCCCAUCCCAGACAGUCGAGCGAGGUGCACAGACAAGAACUGACAACCUGUGUGCCCUAAUGGGAGGAAAGCCAGGUGAAGUUCUCAGGACAUAAAGCAGGACAAACAAGAGAGCAAUAGCGGUCCCUGAGAGGGAAAGAAUUGAUAACCAAGAGGUACUCUAAGACGAAAUUCACAAGAGCCUGAGUUUGGGAGAGACGGGACAAUGUGAGAUUUUCACUUCUCUCUCCACCAGGCACUUCUGACAGAGAUCCUGGAAGCUAAGUUUGGGAAGGAUUCUUGGCUUUUGUCAGUCUUUGCCAGUUUUCCCAGGAUCCCAUCUGCAGGCGCCGGAGUGAGUAGGAUGUUCAGACAGGUCCCAUCUGGAUGAGCAGAAACUGUAGGGGAAGAAAAACAAUUUUCCCUCUGCCCUUCUGAGUUCUUGGCUGAGACGCCUUUUCCUCCAGGGCACCUCAUAAAUGGAUAAGCUUAUCUAGGUUCAGAGUUUUCCAUUAUGACCACUGUAUUUCAAUAUUAUCUUUCAGAAAUUUAACCUUUUUGUUCAAACAAACACAACUUCUGGGCCCAUUUUUUUUUUUGUCUUUUGAGGGCCAUACCUGUGGCAUAUGGAAAUUCCCAGGGUAGGAGUCCAAUCGGAGCUAUUGCUGCCGGUCUACACCAGAGCCACAGCAACACUAGAUCUGAGCCGCAUCUACGACCUACACCACAGCUCAUGGCAACACCGAAUCUUUAACCCACUGAGCAAGGCCAGGGAUCAAACCUGAAACCUCAUGGUUCCUAGUCAGAUUUGUUUCCGCUGAGCCACAACAGGAACUCCAGGCCCAUAAUUUUUAUACACAGAAUUAGCCAGCGUCCCAGAUGCAGGAGUCUCAGAUUCUUUGGGCUUGAAGGAACUCUUUUUCUGUUGUUUUUUUUUUUAACUCUUAAACAAAUUUUUUUUGUUAAAUUAGCCUGAGACCUCAUACUGGAUCCAGUCUGGUUUAAGUCUGUCCCAGUUUGACCCCAGAUCCAGUGUGAUUUAAGAUGGAUGCAGUCCAACUCCAGAUCCAGUCAGAUGAAAGAAAUACUCAGAGUCCAAAAGCUGUUAAUACAGAAGUUGCAGAGCUCACAUGUUUCUCCACAGCCUCCAGAUACGGUGAAAAAGCAGUGAGCACAGGGGCUCAGGGGGUGCCCCUGCCUGCUUAUGCUCUUUUCCCCCCAGGCUAUUCUGGGAGGUGAAGGGUCUCCUUUGGAGCCCACAAGUGACAGAAGACUGUUAAAAUCUAUACUGAGGCAUAUUAAAAAAAAGAGUUUAUUUGAUGAAAAAUUGAUUCAAAUUGGACUGUGCUAAACCAGAAAUGCUCAGGAGCUCUCCACGGACAGGAGCUGGGGAAAGACUUACAGAAAAGACUCAGAAACAAAGCAAUUGACUGGCUAUGGCUUUAGGGUUUGCAUUAUUUGGGAAAGCCUAGUUGGCUGUUUGCAAUUGGUUGUGCUUAGGUUUUAAUUUCUUAACCAUGAGGAGUUAACAGGCUGAGGUUUUUGUUUGCUUACCUCCUUCAUUACUAAGGCAUUAACACCACUUCAAUCUAACCGUCUCUGUGUUUAAUUAAUUUAACAGGGGCUUAAGGCAGAAACAUAUGGUCUAUUGGUGGGAAGUAAUGUGAGUUGCUUACUUAAGUCAAAUCUUUGGCCAAUACUCUUCAUUCUUAGAGACACUACUUGUCAUCCUUGGAGGCACCUCUUGGGGCCAGGUCUCCUGCUCACAUCCACCCAUGUUUGGGAGAAGAGUGAGAAGGUGGGAUAUUGCUCCCUACCCUUUAUCCAGCCUUGACCUUCACCCAUUACCUGCUGAGGGGUUAGACUACCUCCCUCCUUUUCCAAAUUCCAGUUUAUUUAUUAUUUCUGAAAAAUUAUUCCGUAAAUAAAGCACAAAAACUUCUCCAGUGAAGAGAAAUUACCUGCUAAACAACUAAUAACCCAUGUUCUGAGCAGACUCUGAAAGCUAAUUGUAUUUGAAACAUGGGCACAUAAAGUAGAUCAUUAGAGGGUUAAGGGGCUGUGAAUCAAGAAAAAGAGGUGCCAAGUGAACGUGACCUCUGCUGAGAUGAGAGUGGAUCCACUGGUGUUCCCUUGGGAAUUUUACUACAAGCACACAUUGUGUGGUCCUUCGUGGAAUGUUGAUCUUCCUUAAAAACAUGAUAAAAGGAAGGUGACUGUAUAUCCUAACUCUUAGGCAAAUAUCCCAUAAGUGUCCCUUCUGAUGAGGAGGAGGAUAGACAAACAUUUAACAAAAACUUUACAUGUGAUGGGUAUUAUUCUAAUAUUGGUAAACUUUAUCUCGUUAGGUAUCACAAUAACCUUAUAAAAGAAAUACUACUAUUAUCCUCAAUGUACAAAUAAGGAACCUGAAUUGAAGAGAUGUGAAUUUUCUCAAGGUUACACAGCUCAUAAAGUUGAAACUCUAGAAAACAGAGCUUCAGACCUCCAUUUUUUUUUUUUUUUUUUUUUUNNNNNNNNNNNNNNNNNNNNNNNNNNNNCUAACUGGAGCUACAGCUGCCGGCCUACACCACGGCCACAGCAAUGUCAGAUCCUUGACCCACUGACCAGGGAUCAAACCCACAACAUCACGGUUCCUAGGCAGAUUCGUUUCCACUGCGCCAUGACGGGAACUCUUCCAUUUUUUUUUUUUUUUACUUGAAGUGUAAUUGACUUACAAUGUUAUAUUAAUUUCAGGUGUAUGACAGUGUUUUAAUAUUUUUAUAGAUUAUGCAUCAUACAAAGUUAUUAUAAUAUUGACUAUAUUCCCUGUACUGUACAUCACAUAAAAAUAUGUGACACUUCAUAAAUUUGUGUGUCAUCCUUGUGCAGGGGCCAUGCUAAUCUUCUCUGUAUCGCUCCAAUUUUAGUAUAUAGGCUGCCAAAGUGAGCACUAGACCUCCACUCUUUUUUUUUUUUUUUGUCCACACCCAUGUAUGCAGAUGUUCCAGCGCCAGAGAUCGAACCUAUACCACAGCAUGACCCAAGCCCCAGCAGUGACAACAGUGGAUCCUUUAACUGCUAGUCCACCAGAGAACUCCCAGACCACCACUCUUAACACCAAAGAUGCUGGUCAAUGUUAGUCUCACCAUGAGGUCCAGUCUUUUUCAAGUGGGUUCCUCUGGCCAUCAUAUUGAUGGCAGGUCAAGGUUGAUGACAAUUUGGUGGGAACACCAGGUUUCACUCAUCACAGAAGCUGGUUCUCAGGGAGAACUGGAGAGAGAUAUCCAGUUAGUUACCUACAACUUUGAAAAGUGUCUGGCUGACAUUCAGAGAUUGUAACUGUCCUGUUAGCUCCCCAUUUACUCUCUACGUGGUUUGGGCUAAUCAGCUGAAAAAGGACCCGUCUUCCUGAUCUCUGCCUCCCUGUUGUGCUGCUUCUUCAUCUCCCCUUUCACCAGCUUCCCUGUUUGGGAGAAGUUUGUAGAGGGGUUGAGUUCAGUCAGGUUAUGCUUUGUGCAGGGAAAAGGCUCAUCUUUGCUCCUGCCCACACCUGUGCUAAGUGAGUCAUUUCCUCUCUUCCCCAGGCUCUCAGGGAAGGUUCCUUGGUAAUAAAGUCUCUACCCUUACUAGGAAUGUAGUCAGUUCUCUCUCACUUUCUGGCAACCCUUAGGAUGUUUAACUACCAUAUUCUCUGGAUUUAAGCCCCUGGAACCAGCCCUCCAGUACCUCCAACCACAGCCACUGAAACAUUUAAUUGAGAGCAUCAGUGGCUCUUGGGACAUUCCUAGAUCGUGUUCUUUUUCUCAGUGCCCUGCCUUCUCAAUAUUAGCUGUAUCCAAGACAGAACUGUCUUUUCUCUUGGGGUGGAAAUUGCAUCUCCUAAAAACAUUCUCUGUGUCUGGCAGUCAUUUCUAUCACAAGAGAAAUGGUCUUUUCCUAGCUCUAUCAUCCAUUCCAACACUUAACAUGCCUCUGGUGGCAUGUCCAAGUUUGGAGAAUAAUUUUCACCUUGUAUUCUGGAUUCUGACAAUAUUCUUCCUCCAUCUCCAAGAAGUGGCUUAAUUUUUAACAAUUCAUUCAAAAAUGAGUGUCUUAUACCCAUCCCCCACUAAAAAGUGUUCUGGAAACAUUUGUUGAGUAGGGUUGCAUUUACCCUAAUUUCCUUCAUCUACUUCUGGACAAUCUUGUAUGUAAAAUUGUGUAGUAAUUUUUAAAUUCUGCCUCAUCGUAGCCCACGGAACACAAAUCCCCAGCAACUUUUUUUUUUUUUUGGCCACAUCCAUGGGAUGCAGAAGUUCCUAGGCCAGGGAUCAAACCUGCACCACAUGGAGUUCCCAUUGUGGCUCAGAGGUAAUGAACCCAACUAGGAUCCAUGAGGAUGCAGGUUCAAUUCCUGACCUCACUCAGUGGGUUAAGGAUCCAGCAUUGCCAUGAGCUGUGGUAUAGGUUGCAGACGUGGCUCAGAUCCCAUGUUGCUGUGGCUGUGGUAGGCCAGCAGCUGUAGCUUUGAUUCAGCACCUAGCCUGGGAAUCCAUAUGCCACGGGUGUGCCCCUAAAAAGCAAAGAAACAAACAAACAAACAAAAAAACACCACCACAGCAGUGGCCAGAGCCACAGCAGUGACAAUGCCAGGUCCUUAACCCACUGAGCCACCAGGGAUGCCACAGGAACUUCAGAGAGUGUACACCCAACUCUACACAAAAGUCAUAACCAGGUUGAUCCUAUUUGCAUUGGACAGAGUCCUUUCCUGGGAUGUGGUAAUUUCAGCACUAAAAAUCUCAAAAUAAUUUGGUUUCAGUGCUAGGAGUUGUUAUCUGCCCAUGGCUCUGAUAUGGACCACACUAGUAAUUUUGGUAAUUCCAGAAGGAAAAAAAAA
rnacentral:lncRNA from 1 species